rnacentral:rRNA from 1 species
UACGUAGGGAGCAAGCGUUGUCCGGAAUCAUUGGGCGUAAAGCGCGCGUAGGCGGCCCCGUAAGUCCGCUGUGAAAGUCAAAGGCUCAACCUUUGAAAGCCGGUGGAUACUGAGGGGCUAGAGUCCGGAAGAGGCGAGUGGAAUUCCUGGUGUAGCGGUGGAAUGCGCAGAUAUCAGGAGGAACACCAAUAGCGAAGGCAGCUCGCUGGGACGGUACUGACGCUAAGGCGCGAAAGCGUGGGGAGCGAUCAGG